rnacentral:lncRNA from 1 species
AAUAAUGUUGUUCAUCAUUUAUAUUGUUUAUAACAUUGUCAGUUUUUAUAUGCAUUUAAUAUUUUUAAAAAUAGUUCAAAAGCUGUCAAAAUAAAAUGGUGAAUUGAGUUUAUAUUAACCAGAAAAGAUAUAAACGUAAUCUUUGGAAUUCAACUUGUAAGGAUGUUCCAAGAACCACUUAGUUGGAGACGGAAAACUGUGCCAUUCGUUAACAAGUCCUGUGCUUUAUAAUAUAUUAAAAGAUGGUAAGGACCUGAAGAAAGAAGGUUUGUAAAUGAUGUUGUACAUCAUGCAGACAGCUCAGAAGAAGAAGCAGGAAUGUUUGACUGGAAAUAUAAACGAUGUUGUACAUAAUGCAGAUAGCUUAGGCGAAAAAGAGAUUGGUAAAAUGAAGAAUGAGACUAACUACGGUUAAAUGGGCUUGAUGUUUUUAUCAUUAAAACUUGAAGUUAUUAUAAAAUUUAUAUAUACUAUUUUUAUCAAAUAGUUAAUAUAAAAUAAUAAACACGUAAAUUGUUUUAUUUUCUGUAAAAAUUAUUUUCUUGAUAUAUUUCAAUUGUUUAUCACUAUGUAUAUCACUUAUAGUAUUAUAUUACUUGUAAUUUUUUGUUUUAUUUAUUUUCAGUAUGUUAUACAUAUGCAUGCAUUAAAUAUUGUGGGAAAGU